CGGGAUGCUGCCGCAGUGAGGAAUAUUGCACAAUGGGGGGAACCCUGAUGCAGCAACGCCGCGUGGAGGAUGACGCAUUUCGGUGUGUAAACUCCUUUUAUAUGUCAAGAAAAUGACGGUAGCAUAUGAAUAAGCACCGGCUAACUCCGUGCCAGCAGCCGCGGUAAUACGGAGGGUGCAAGCGUUACUCGGAAUCACUGGGCGUAAAGGACGCGUAGGCGGGUUGGAAAGUCAGGUGUGAAAUCCUACAGCUUAACUGUAGAACUGCACUUGAAACUUCUAAUCUAGAGUAUGGGAGGGGGAGAUGGAAUUAGUGGUGUAGGGGUAAAAUCCGUAGAUAUCACUAGGAAUACCUAAAGCGAAGGCGAUCUCCUGGAACAUUACUGACGCUAAGGCGUGAAAGCGUGGGGAGCAAACAGGAUUAGAUACCCGCGUAGUC
rnacentral:rRNA from 1 species